rnacentral:rRNA from 1 species
AUACGGAGGAUCCGAGCGUUAUCCGGAUUUAUUGGGUUUAAAGGGAGCGUAGAUGGGUUGUUAAGUCAGUUGUGAAAGUUUGCGGCUCAACCGUAAAAUUGCAAUUGAUACUGGCAGCCUUGAGUACAGUUGAGGUAGGCGGAAUUCGUGGUUGAGCGGUGAAAUGCUUAGAUAUCACGAAGAACUCCGAUUGCGAAGGCAGCCUACUAAACUGCCACUGACAUUGAUGCUCGAAAGUGUGGGUAUCAAACAGGAUUAGAUACCCUGGUAGUCCACACGGUAAACGAUGAAUACUCGCUGUUUGCGAUAUACAGCAAGCGGCCAAGCGAAAGCGUUAAGUAUUCCACCUGGGGAGUACGCCGGCAACGGUGAAACUCAAAUGAAUUGGCGGGG